rnacentral:lncRNA from 1 species
AAGUUUUUAAAUGAAAUUAAAAUGAUUUCAUUACCUUUCCACUUGGUGAUUCCACACACAUAUAGGAAAUCCAAAGUGUGAUAUUCAUUCACUGCUUCCAUGAAUAAAACAACUACUUGAUUAGAAAAAACUGACAUACACAAAACUUAGAGAACAUACACUAUCAGCACUCAGUAUAUUGCCCUCUAAAUAGUUUAAAUUUAUUUUUAUUGUAUACAUUUAGAGUUUUGUUUUGUUUUGUUUUUAAUUAAAGGUCUGAAAAAGAACUGUGUUUGAUAUGCAGAUAUGCUAGAAGACUGCCUGAAAGCUGCUUCCUUUGCCACUUCCUGUGGAGGCCUGUCUUUGCCAUUUGCGGUUUCUUUCUUCUUUUGGUAAGGGGAGGCAGGAUCUGAUUAUAGGUUUGAGGUCCUUCUAGCUACAUAGAGGAGUUAGUUGGCAUAACAGGAGGUGAGUCUUCAUUAACUGGAGUACAAAGUAUAGCUAGCAGUAGUCUCCCAUAACUCCUCUUAAGGCAAUAAACUAUGAUUUUAUGUUUGCUUAUUCAAUGUGAGUAUAACUCAAGAAGGCAGGAACUGAAAGAAAACCUAAGAGUGUGACCAGAUCCAUAUUCCUGUCUUUGGUAGGAAAGACAAUCCCUUUUUAUUCUAUGUCUUUAUUCACUCUAUCUUUCUAAGAAAAUGACACAGCUAUCGAUACUAAUCCAUCUCAGAUUCUCUAACAAUGCUUAAGGCUGGGGCACUCUUUCUGUAGUUAAUCAGGAACCUUCAGGCUUACGUAUAUAUCCCCUCCUAUAUGGGGUGGGGAGCAGAUGCAUGUCUUGGCAGCAUUUUUCGUUUGGGGAACUUUUCUCUUUAUUCCUCCCACUGUUCUCUUUGCUACCCAGAGGCUAGAUUGAGAAGAGCCUCUAAAGUUAUUAACUUUGACCACCUCUCUGGAAUGUGUGAGGAGGGCCAGGUGGUAUUCCACACUGGGGUGUUGAAUUAGUACUCAUCAAUGUGGAUGGCAUCUGUCUUUUCUGGUGAGAGCCCGUCUUCAACAUUAGAAGUUUGAUUUGCUGAGUGCCAUGUCAUUCACAGUGCAGCAUAGCAUUGCGCCUGUAUCACCAGAUAGAGGCUUUAUUUCCCAUGCUGUUCUCAUUUACAGAUGCCUAUUUGAGACAUUUUCUGUCUCGCAGGGAUGUGAUGCCUUUGCUACCUCUAGGCAAGAUAACAUCAUGAAAAAUCCGCUGGUGUAGACUGCAGGGCUUGACUUCCAGUGGGCAUGUGACAUGUGAGCUGCCACCCUCUUUGGCUUCCUUUUGCUUCCUUUUGCAAUUCAUGGGAGUUAUCCCCUUGAGCCCACAGUACUUCUAACCCUGGAUGCCUGAGUUUUACUUCCUCUUUUAUCCUGUGACCUUGAUCGUG